rnacentral:rRNA from 1 species
CAGCCAUGCCGCGUGUGUGAGAAGGCCUUCGGGUUGUAAAGCUCUUUCAGUUGUGAGGAAAGUUAGUAGUUAAUACCUGCUAGCCGUGACUUUAACAAUAAAGAACGCCCCGGUUAAAUCCGUGCCCCCCGCCGCU